rnacentral:rRNA from 1 species
AUUGAACGCUGGCGGCAUGCCUUACACAUGCAAGUCGAACGGCAGCACGGGAGCAAUCCUGGUGGCGAGUGGCGAACGGGUGAGUAAUAUAUCGGAACGUGCCCAGUAGUGGGGGAUAGCCCGGCGAAAGCCGGAUUAAUACCGCAUACGACCUGAGGGUGAAAGCGGGGGAUCGCAAGACCUCGCGCUAUUGGAGCGGCCGAUAUCAGAUUAGCUAGUUGUGGGUAAAGGCCUACCAAGGCUACGAUCUGUAGUUGGUCUGAGAGGACGACCAGCCACACUGGGACUGAGACACGGCCCAGACUCCUACGGGAGGCAGCAGUGGGGAAUUUUGGACAAUGGGCGCAAGCCUGAUCCAGCAAUGCCGCGUGCAGGAAGAAGGCCUCGGUUGU